rnacentral:rRNA from 1 species
GUACUGGUGUUACUGGUUCCUACCUUCUGACGAACCAUCAUGUCAUUAAUUUGGUGUGGUGGGGAAUCAGGACUGUUACUUUGAAAAAAUUAGAGUGUUUAAAGCAGGCUCGCGCUUGAAUACAUUAGCAUGGAAUAAUGAAAUAGGACGUUGAUCCUAUUUUGUUGGUUUCUAGGAUUGACGUAAUGAUUAAUAGGGAUAGUUGGGA